GAUGGAGAGAGAUAAGAAUGAAAAAAAAAAAAUGGGUGGCGGGUCCUAGGUGAAUAAUGGAUUUGAUUUUGGUUUUGUCACAUUAUAUACAUUACAUAUAUAUAUAGUAUUUUGUAUCAAAUGGAAAUGAAAGCAAAUGGGCUGCCAGCCGAAUUCAGAGAAAGAAAGUAAAUUGAAAUGAUUUUUGGGUGGGGCCCACGCAAUAGAUUUUUGGCCAAAAGUCUUGGCUUCAGGCAAUUCACGUGGGCAGUUUUUGGUGAUAUAUAUAAAGUAAUGUAAUGAAGAGUAAGUUAUCAUAAGGAAGAAGGCUUGGGUGCGGGACCCCUAGUUGAUAUUUUGGCUAAAGUAAAAUGAUAUUUUCUGUCUCCUUUUUUAGGUGUGAUGGUGAGCAGUUGGGUGUGUUGGUAGAAAUUCCUAUAUAUCUUACUAAUUUGGUGAUGAUACAGAGAAUAAGAAAAUAGAGGAAUUAGAUAAUAGAGAGAGAUAAAGGCAAGACACACAGAGAGAGAAAAGAGAGAGUUUGUAGAGGCUGUGAGCUUUGAGGCUUUAUGAUCAGAUAAUCUAUGAUUUGUUUUACAGAGUACCGAGGAUGCUUGAGAAUUUUUAGCUGCGGGCUUAGGUGAAAGAGUUGGUGUUGAGGAAUUAAUUUAUUUUAUUUAGAGAUUUUUAUGUAUUUAUUUGAGGAUAUUGAUUUAGUAUCAAUUUAAUUAAUUUGAGAUGUUAUCUUAUUUAUUUGAGAAAAUUUGAUUGAUUUUGUAUCAAUAAAGGGUAUUUUAUUUCUUUUGAGAUCCUGGGUGUCUUUUACGAAGUAUUUUGAUUUAAUGAAAUCGAGGAUUUUAUUUAGAAAAAAAUUCGGGGCGUUACAGAAUGGUAUCAGAGCCUGUACCCAGCCGGAAGUGUGAAUUUGGUGAUGUUGUUGACGGGUGUGAGUGGGCGAGUGUUUAGUUCUGAAUAGCUACCUCUCGUAGCCUGGUGUGUGUGGGCAGGUGUCGUUCACUGACAGCUACUGGGGUGGUCAAUAAUUGUGAUUUGGCAUGUUGUAUUGCCUGGCUUUAUUAUUGACCUUGUUUUUGUGAGCGGGUGACGGCAUUGAUUAGCUAUCACAACGGUUACGGAGUGUGUAGGUGGGUAAUUAGCAUUGUCAGGUACCAUAACAUUUUUCAUGUCAUGGUAUCUCGCAUUGCCUGGGGUAAGGAUUUUUGAAUUUUAUUUUACCACUUUUGAUGUUUUCAGGUAUGUGAAAAUUGUUGGAUCUGAAUUUCAGGAUGAAAUUCUUUUUAAGUGGUGGAGAAUGUAACAACCCAAAUUUUUAAGAGUUUUUAUUUCAUUCUUAUUUUUGUGUCAUUGGAGACUUGUCAAUUGAAGAUUGAAUUUUUAUUUUUUUUAUUGGAGACUUGCAGUUGAUUGGAUUUGAUUAUUUUGUAUGCAUAUAUUUUGAUUAUAUAUAUAGCAUCUGUUGAAGAGAGAGACUAGGUGCGAAAUUAGAAAGGAAAAUGAAAUGGAAAUAGAAGAGAAAUGGGUUUUGAUUAUUUAAAGUUUGUUGCAUAUAUAUAUAUAUAUAUAUAUAUAUAUAUAUAUAUUGGUGCAAAACCAAGCUACUAGCCGAUUUUAGAGAGAGGAAAAUGGAAAUCAUAAGGUGAUUUUGGCGGGUCCCACUUACAUGUUAUGUAAUGAGUUUAAUUUGGGUUUUUUGUUGCAUUAAAUAUAUAUAUAGAUAUAGAAUGCAAUCUGAUGGAGAGAGAUAAGAAUGAAAAAAAAAUAAAAAAUUUGGUAGGUGGCGGGUCCUAGGUGAAUAAUGGAUUUGAUUUUGGUUUUGUCACAUUGUAUAAAUUAUAUAUAUGUAGUAUUUUGUAUCAAAUGGAAAUGAAAGCAAAUGGGCUGCCAGCUGAAUUCAGAGAAAGAAAGGAAAUUGAAAUGAUUUUUGGGUGGGGCCCACGCAAUAGAUUUUUGGCCAAAAGUCUUGGUUUCAGGCAAUUCACGUGGGCAGUUUUUGGUCAUAUAUAUAAAGCAAUGUAAUGAAGAGCAAGUUAUUAUAAGGAGGAAGGCUUGGGUGUGGGACCCCUAGUUGAUAUUUUGGCUAAAGUAAAAUGAUAUUUUCUGUCUCCUUUUUUAGGUGUGAUGGUGAGCAGUUGGGUAUGUCGAUAGAAAUUCUAUAUAUGUUACUAGUUUGGUGAUGAUACAGAGAAUAAGAAAAUAGAGGAAUUAGAGAAUAGAGAGAGAUAAAGGCAAGACACACGGAGAGAGAAAGCCGAGAGUUUGUAGAGGCUAUGAGCUUUGAGGCUUUAUGAUAAGAUAAUCUAUGAUUUGUUUUACAGAGUAGGGAUCAUCGUACCUUAAAUGGCUUGGAUGAUUUGUUUUAAAUAUUUUAUUAAUUAUUUUUUUGCUAAAAUUGCAUAUACAUAUUUUUGUUUAAAUGUAUAUGUAUAUGUAUAUUUUGUGAAAUUAAUUUUGCAUGAAACUUCUUGAAAUUCUUAUUGUAGUUUUUCCUACUGUCUCACCCCCUAUAGUUUCAGGUACCGAGGAUACUUGAGGAUUUUUAACUACGGACUUAGGUGGAAGAAUUGGUGUUGAGGAAUUAAUUUAUUUUAUUUAAAUAUUUUUAUGUAUUUAUUUGAGCAAAUUGAUUUAGUAUCAAUUUAAUUAAUUUGAGAUGUUGUCUUAUUUAUUUGAGAAAAUUUGAUUGAUUUUGUAUCAAUAAAGGGUAUUUUAUUUCUUUUGA